rnacentral:misc_RNA from 1 species
ACUUAUCACUUGUUUAUUUGAAGGGCGAAAAGCUUAGACAGAUGUUUACGGCUUUAGCUCUAUGCCAUUCAGCCAUUUUUUUUUUCUUGUUCCAGUGGUUGGACGAGCUUCAUAAUCACUUGUUUACAUUAAUAUGUUCCUACAUGAAACUUACAAUUUGUUCAAGUGUAGACAUAAAGGUGUUGCAAAGUCUUUGUAGUUUGAUGGUUUCAUGAGUGUGUGUUUUGUAUAGUUGAUUGAUAUUUAUUACUCUGCAUGUAUUGAUAUGUUGCUAUACAUUUGUAUCUCAGUGAAAGGGAAAAAUCUCAUGAA